rnacentral:rRNA from 1 species
AUACGGAGGAUGCGAGCGUUAUCCGGAUUUAUUGGGUUUAAAGGGUGCGUAGGCUGUGCGUUAAGUCAGGGGUGAAAUGCCGUCGCUCAACGACGGAGCUGCCCUUGAUACUGGCGUGCUGGAGUACGGAUGCCGUUGGAGGAAUGAGUGGUGUAGCGGUGAAAUGCUUAGAUAUCACUCAGAACUCCGAUUGCGAAGGCAUCUGACGAAUCCGUCACUGACGCUGAGGCGCGAAAGCGUGGGGAUAGAACAGGAUUAGAUACCCUGGUAUUCCACGCCGUAAACGAUGAUGACUAACCGUCGGCGAUAGACAGCCGGUGGCCAAGCGAAAGCGAUAAGUCAUCCACCUGGGGAGUACGUCGGCAACGGUGAAACUCAAAUGAAUGGACGGGG